AGUAAAGACCUGAACUAUGACCAAGGUCUCAUACCAACCGGGGGCAUGACUCUCUCAGUCUCAGUCGUGCCUUUAAAAGAGCUGGAAAGUAGCGCUUUCAAUGCAGGCUGUUGAUUGUUUCAUACUCAUACAGCCUCCAGGCAGCAGAUAAACUUCUGAGAAGAGCAAGGACUUUCCAGAUGGACACUGGAGCAGAUGGAACCAGUGGCGUACAGUAUGAUCGCUGGAAUGAGGACAACAUCAACAUGAACGUAGAGGCAUCACAGUCUACUAUGAUGAGGAUCUACAACAGAGUGUGUAUCGGCACCACUGGAAUAGUAGUGAAGACAGCAGGGGCUCUGGCUGCACUGGUGACCAUUUACAUCUUAGGAUAUGUGACAGGAUACAAUGUCCAUAAGUGCUGAUGGUGGAGCUCUGACCACAUGUGUGGUUUGUAAACGUUUUGCAAAUAAAAAUCACAAAAAACA